rnacentral:sRNA from 1 species
GUGGGAGCAAGGCUUGCCCGCGAUCAAGGCGCCGCGGUCUUCAGUGAGAUUGCGGUGCUUCUAUCGCGGGCAAGCCUUGCUCCCAC